GUCCCCGCGCACGCUCCCCGCCGGCCCCCACGCAUACGCCCCCGGCGCUGCUGCGGCGGCUGGCUUGGGAGGGGGUCGAGGGAGCGGGAGCUUGGGGUGGGCUUCGGGAGCGCAGGGAACGGCGGGAGCCGGGAGGUGACGGCUAGCAGCGUGAGAAGGCCGCUGGCUCCUGAGAAAUCCCCCUCCUCCAGGUUGUUCUUCCGAGUGUGGUUUAAAGUUCAGGAGCGGGCGGGAGGGUGCGGAUGACGUAGAGAGGGCCGGCCGCUGGGGAGCUUUUGGGGGCGCGCGGGGCCGACUCUCCCGGCCUGGGAGGGCGACGGCCGGGGUUUUCGAGAGGUGGUUCCCCCUCUUCCCGACUUCGCACAUGCAAAUCUCCACCCCCGCGCCAGCGGCGGGACGUUGCGCCCUGUAGGGGGAAGUGGUGCUGCGGCGGGGGUCCUGUCUUCUUCUGUAAUUCCUGUAUUUGCAUACGGGGACCCCCCCCCCGACUGAUUUUUUUUCCUCCAUCUAAAUUGCGAGGGUACUGUGAACUUUACGUAUUUUACCUACUGAAACCCGUUUAAACUCAAAAGGUCCGCACUUGGAGUUCGUUGUCUCAUUAGGCAGUGCACUGAAGUUUAGUGGACACUAUAUCCUGAGAUUUCACACAGAUGCCAAGAAAGGCGGAAAUGGAGCACACAUUUAGUGCAUUAAAGGACCUAGGAUAACUUCGUUUCCUUCAUUUGAAUAGUACCUGCUAUGCAUCAGAUAAUGUCCAUACUUAAUCUAUGACGUAUUUAUUAUUCCUAACUUUAUAGAUGAAGUAUUCGGGGUUCAGAGAAGUUACUUCAACAUACAGUACUUCAGAAUGCUGAUAAAAGGCACAGUUUAAAGCCAGGGUUGUCUGACUCCAAAGCUCCAUGCCCUUGCCCCUGUCCCUUACUAGUUAAAAUUAGUACGGAGAGGUAAUGGGGAAUAUCAGCCUGCCAUACAAGUGCCCAAAACUGGGGGACCCAUAUGGGCAAAUAAUUUAAAAUAUCCUGCCAACCCCAAACUGUUCUUUCCACGAAAUGCGCAAUGUACAACAAAAGAAUGAAACAGUUUUAUUAUUGGAUAUGUACUAAAACGUACCAUGAUGCACAUCACAGGCAAUCCACUGAAGAGAGUGCAAAGACCAAAAAAAAGGAAAUCUCACCUUUUCAUAUGGUCAGGCACGUACAAUCCAUUACAUACCUAUUAAUUGUCUUUAUCCAAAGGAAAAUAAUGGGAAGUUAUCUUGGAACCAAGAGCCAAGGCUUAAACCCUCCUAGAGACAGAAACAUGGAGCACCAUCCUUGAUGUUCACAUUUCCAAGAGAUGGCUCCGAGGCCCGCAAGAAAGACCUUCUGAGGACGCAAAACUAGCAAGAGGCUUAUUUAGCUUUUUAAAAUAUGUACAUACAUUUCAAAGAGACGGAAAACAUUUUCAGUUCUCUGAAGGAAUUUCAAAAUGAAAAGUGACUGGGGGAGAGGAAAGUUCUGAGGAGGUGACAUUUGAGCUGAGUCCUCAGUUUAAGAAAGAGCCGGCCAGGCGCAGUGGCUCAUGCCUGUAAUCCCAGCACUUUGGGAGGCUGAGGCAAGUGGAUCACGAGGUUGGGAGUUCAAGACCAGUCUGGCCAAGAUGGUGAAACCCC
rnacentral:lncRNA from 1 species